ensembl:lncRNA
AUCCAGGAGCACGUGAGGGUGGGCCCGGGGCCUGAGACAGGGCGAGGGAGCCCCUACGCGGCACCCAGCUUUCGGGAGGCUCCCAGGGAAGAUCCGAGACAGGCCUCCCUUGAGGGCAGCCCCGCCUGGGAGGCCGCAGGAGCACCAGGUCCUGCAGGAGAGGGCGACGGAGCCCCUCCCUCCGCCUGGUCUCCUUCCAGACCUCGGAAGUGGUCGAUUGCCAGGGGGGAAGCCCGCGCCGUGGCGGGGAGGGGCGCCUUCCGUGUGUCCCAGGGGUCUCCGCCCUGCCCUCUCAAGCCUGGGGAGAACGUCGCGUGCGUUUUCCUUUGGCGAGCAAAGGGCCCAGUGGUGCGCGCUGGUUCGCCCCCGUUUUGGGGGCCGGAAGAGGCAUGACUAGGCGGGAAGAUGUUAAAGCAAGAAUGGCCGGUGGCCCCCGCUCACCCUCUUAGGAGCCGGCGCCGGCACCCGCGGCCGCCUCCGCAGCCUCCGUUGCGGUCCGCCAGCUUCCGCACCGCCCCGCCUCGCCGCCACGACCUCCACCCUCACUUUGUCCAGGAAAUCCGACUUCGCCGCCCUGGAACCCGGGGACCCACAUUCGGCUCUGCCUCCCGCAGCCUGCUCUCCUCCGGCCGUCCCAGACCCAGGGCUGCUCCGCCGAGUUUACUCGCGGGCCGUUACUUCUCCGUGAGACCAAGCCGGCCAAAAAUAGGGGAGGUGGAAGCAGCUCGCCUGCGGGAUCGAUGGGGCCCUCGCCGUUUCAGCUGAGCUGUCUUAUUAAUUAUGAAAGGGCUCGCCCGAUCCCUGCCAGGGACCACGCCUCUGGCCCCUCCGCUGGAGCCCUUAAUGGUGGUUCCUCUGAGAGCUGCCUCCGGCCACCGCAGAGGAAGCGGCGAGUCGCGAGCAGGGCUCGGCCGGCAGGCCGGGGCUCGGGCUUCCGACCCGCGUGGGUCCGCGUGUGCAUUCUCAGAGGCGCGCAAGGCCAGCGCCCCCAAACCUCCCC